ensembl:lncRNA novel transcript
AUCCGCGAGAGAGGCGCGCGCCCGCCACCGCUGGGGGCUCCAGCCGCCCGCCGACCCGGGCCUGGCAGAGGGGACGCGGCGCCCAAGCCGCUCCUCCGGAUGGCGACAGAGACGGCCUGACGCGCCCGCAGCCUGGGCCCCCCACGGGGAGGACGGCCGGGCCAGGUGAAGUUCGCGCACUUGGGCCUUCCGCGCCCCCAUCCACCGCAGCCAGGGCCUGGAAGGCUGGGGAGGGGGCGGGGGCGGCAGACGCCUCCUAAGCUGGACACCUGUCGUUGGAUUUAGGGCCCAACUGAAGAGUCCAGGAUGACACCAUCUUGAGAUCUUUAACUUAAUGACAAAACCUGAAGACCUUUUCAUCAAGUACAACUUGAGCUCUCAUCUACAUAACUGAAGGCUGCACCCAGGGCUGUAAAGAGUGAAAAUGCAUUGCCGAAGCAUGAGCACCUCCUGCAGUUCUCAGUAGACAUUUGGGAAGCGAGUGAACCGCCCUGUAUGGAGUGUUUGGAGGAGGUCGGAGGGUGUCGGGCCUGAGCCAGGGGCUGCCCUGGGCCUGUGUCGGGUGGCGCAUGCCAGAGGAAUGAGAUGGGAAGGGCAUGCACGCGGGGUCUUGGCAGCCCUGGAGCUGGCCUAGAUGCAGCAGCUUUCUGAUAAAGCGAAAUUGUUCCAUCGGCUUGCCAUGCUUUGCUUAGCCAUCCGCACUUCACUGUUGGGCGAAAGAAGAUUUUAAAGAACACCCUUAGCAGAUGUCAGAGUUUGGGAUUUGGGGUCCAUGAUACCCAAAUAAGAUUCCACUUGAAGAAAGUAACACGAAUUGCUUUCAACACAUCAAUCAACAAAGAGCAUUGAUGGAUGAAGAGGACAUUGAUAAAUGGGAUGUCUUUUUGCUGAAACUCUAACUUACAGUAAAGGGGGGAAACUCACAGAAGCCCAGUGGAAGCUUCUGGAGCCAGGAGCUACACUGACUCUCUCCGCAGAGGGUGUGGAGGGGUAGGCGGCAGUCAGCCCCCAGCCCAGAGUGGAGGGCACCUGGGCACAUGUGUGAUCAGAGCCCACAUGGAGGGAGGCCAGGGUCCAGCUUCCCUUCACUCUGGGAACAUGGGAGGCCCUGUCCCCAGGCCAUGGCACACAGAGGGAGGAGCAGGAGCUCUGGCAGCCUCAGAGGUGUGUGCCAGGCCGCAGCCUAUUGGAAAUUCCUCAGGAGUGCAUGGCCUGGGGUCCCCCAGCCUGCGGGAGGCAGAGGGGGCGAGGCCAGGUCCCCCGGCCUGUGGGAGGCAGAGGGGGCGAGGCCACGUCCACCAGUCCGAAGCCUGUCCUGCCCAGCUUGCUGUGUGACUCUGGCCUCGGGGGGAACAUUAUCUGAAAUGUACAUAGUGGAAUCCAGGCAGUGUUCACCCCUUCCCUCUGUGCCCUCCGUGGUCUUCUGUGACCUGGGAUUUGUUGGUCAUUGGCAGAAACAGAAGAUGCAUUAUUAUUACUGUAAAAGGUAAAGUUGUCCCCUAACUGGCUCAACUGUCCGAAGACCCCCCUGCUUUUUCUGCUUUUCCUUGUGACUCAGCCUGGUCUUUCUUCUUCCAGGGUGGCAUCCCACUGACUCCUACGCAGCCCCACCCUGGUUCCCUCACUCCCAGGUUCCUGGUCCCUCAGGGUCCUAGGGCUGAGUCCUCCAUAGCCCCCACACACAGCCCAGAGCUGGGACUGACCCACGGCAUAGGACAAACUCCUCCAGGCCUCUGAGAGAACUCCUGGGCUUUCAUCUACAUGAUUCAGAAAGAAUCUUUUUUCUCUUUCAAAUGUUAAUGUUUUUAAUUUCCUUUUUUUUUUCAUUUUUCAUUAUAACUGCUAAGAUUUUUCUAAUUGGCAUGCCAACUGCUUGCAGACUUGACCUGUUUCUUGCAAAAAAAGAAAAUCGCUUAAUCAUUAAAUACAAUUAUUACUUCAUUCUUCUAUCUCUUCAGUCUACCAAACUAUUAUAUACUCUUGAUGAUUGUCAUUUUCGUCAAAAGAAAACUGUAUCCAGAAUCCCAUAACACUUACAAAUUAAGUGUCUUAAUUUUUCAAGUUCUUUUGGGGCUUGCCAUAUGAGUGUAUUAUUCUUGCAUAUUGCACAUUCAUUUUCUAUUAUUUUUAAUACAUAAUUCUACAAAAUAAGCAUUCUUCAUGAUAUAUAUU